rnacentral:tRNA from 1 species
UAGCUCAGUUGGUAAAGAAUCUGUCUGCAAUGCAGGAGACCCAGGUUCGAUUCCUGG